ensembl:lncRNA
CAACAUAAUAAAACAAGAGGCAUUACUUUCGGAGCAGCCCUCAUAAAAGAUAUAUAAUUAUUACUGUAUAUGAGUAACACAUAGAAUCCUAGAAUCGCUAAGGUUGGAAAAGACCCACAGGAUCAUCCAGUCCAACCAUUUGCCCUUCACCAAUGGUUCUCGCUAAACCAUGUCCCUCAGCACAACAUCCAAACGCUCUUUGAACACCACCAGGCUUGGUGGCUCCACCACCUCUCUGGGCAGUCCAUUCCAGUGCCUGACCACCCUUUCAGAACUUAUUUUAACUGUUAAGAUUUUUAUUAAAAAAUAUUUUAAAAAGAGAGCAUUACAAGCAUAAAACUAGUGGGAUAGUUGACCUUGUUUUUGUGACGAUAGCAUCAGUCUGAUUCAGUGGCAGUUGUUGCGACUCUUAGUGAGUUCUCAAGGUGUUCAUUAGACUUUUGAUGAAGUUUUACUCUUCCUGUACUUAAUCCUUGACAAGAGUUGUUCACAAAUGUGUGUACUGUCUAAAAGUGAUGACAUGAAUAAGGUGAUUGUGAAGCUAGGGAUAUUUUAAUCCGGUCUUAAAAAAGUCUGGUAAGGAGACAUGAUGACACAUUUGAGUUGAAUGUCUAAUAGCAAAUCUAUACAUUCUGUGUGAAAAUUUGCAAGUAAUUUAUUUAUGUCAACUGAAAAAUGGAGUUACAAAUAUAAAGUGGUGUUUUUUUCAAUAAUCUUGAAAUUUUUAUCAAAAUACCUUUAUCAAAAUAGAAAGCACAGCUUCAUAUUUUACUCUGUUCACAGGAAUGUGUUUAGCCAACGUACCAAAAUGUCAUUAUUUGCCAUAACUUCAGUUGACACUGAACUGCACCCUUCCCUUGCUCUGGUUUCAGCUGAAACAGCUCAGACAGCACACCAAUAUUUGGUUGUUGUGAGCAAUGGGGGCAUGCCCAAAGCUAGAAUGGGCUGCUCUGCAGGGCAGAGCCACCGUCAUGAUGGCAUGGGACAAGGGGUGGCUGCACUGUGAGCCUACAUGUGGCUACAUGUGGCCCCUGGGCCAUAGGCUGGACAUGCCUGAGAGCACAUUGGAUGGCUAUUAAUCUCUUGCAUGGUUAGAGCAAUGCUUUGAUACACAGUACGCGACUUAAGAACAAAGUGUAUCAGAUGUGUCUGAACAAGAAGCAUCACUAGAACUGACUGCUGGGGUCUGCUUUCAGACUAACAUUCACUGAACUGCCCAUCAUGGGAUCUAACAUGUCCUGCAUCUUCUGAACUGUCUAUCAUGAGUUCUACUGUACCCUCCGUCUUCUGAACUUCCUGCUGUGGAUCUGCCCUUUCUGACAUUCACACUGACUGCAACACUGCCCUUAGCCUUUAUGAUUGAAAAAGUGUGUAACAGUGAUUCUCUGAAGCUCACAAUGGAGCUUCAUAAGGCAGAGCCUUUGUGGUAUGUUAGAGAACGCUUGACUUCUUAAAAACAACAGUGAACUGCUGUGGACCUAACUGCGGCCAGGAUUUAAUUUUGGGUGCCUGAAAUUCAAUUCUGUUUAUGUCAGUAGGGCUCCAGGUCGAACUGCAGGUUCCUGUCUUUUUCUGGAAUAUACCUAACAGUGAGUACUGCAGAAACAGAUAAGAGAGACACAUGGAAGCAUGUAGUGGAAGCCUCUGUCAGUGAUUCAGGGACACGUUAUACCUGAGUGAACUGCAAGUUGCUCUUCCUAUGUCUUUCUGCAGCAACAGGAAAAUUCAGAGAUCUAGAUCUUGCCUUCCCUGCACUGGACCUUGGAUAGCUCACGUGAAGUCCUUGGAGUCCUGGAGUCAGAUCAGUAUGAAGGAAAUAAGAAAUGGACCUCAGAAACGCAAACCAAUGGCCUGCUCUUGCUAUUGGAAGCUUUGUGCAGCUCUUGGGCCAAUCCAGUCUGUCCAUAGAUAAGAGCUAGAUGAAUAAAGAUUAACAUGGAUUUGAAAAAAGAGCAACUCUGAACGGUCUGAAAGUUCCAGAGAUUACUUCUGAAAAGUAGACAGAAGGGAGCAUGAUUACUUGGAGCUUACACUUGACUUGAUAUAUUAGAAUUUCUGCAGAGCUGGAAUGGAGCAAGUUACUCUGUCACAGUGUACUGGAAUGCACUGUGUUUUAUUGAGUGUCUGCUGGAUUAAUUGUGUUCCCCUUGGCUGUUUGGUGUACACAGAAGAAAUCAGAACUGAAAUAUAUGUAUUUAACAGUAAUUUCAAGCUAAGUGAAGUCUUCAUUAUUAUUACUGUGAUUAUUAAAUUAUUACAAGUGAUGUUGAC